AAAUGAAUCUGAUUUUUGCAUUGAUUGAAUUAAUUGUCUCGAACCUUCCGCCUGUGUAUAUACCAAAACAUAACAAAAAAUCUAAUGUGUGUGUGUAAUUACAAGUGUGUCCCUGACUUAUGUACAAAAUUAUACAACAAUUAAAUAGACCCACUACCCUUGGGCUGCCAUUAACUCUUGGGCAGCAGCUGAUAACUUGGGCUACUGUAAGCUUUAAUAUUGGGCUGCUGACAUUGAAGCCCAA
rnacentral:lncRNA from 1 species